rnacentral:rRNA from 1 species
UACGUAGGUCCCGAGCGUUGUCCGGAUUUAUUGGGCGUAAAGCGAGCGCAGGUGGUUUAUUAAGUCUGGUGUAAAAGGCAGUGGCUCAACCAUUGUAUGCAUUGGAAACUGGUAGACUUGAGUGGGCGAGAAGUAUGCGGAAUGCGUGGUGUAGCGGUGAAAUGCAUAGAUAUCACGCAGAACUCCGAUUGCGAAGGCAGCAUACCGGCGCCCGACUGACGCUGAGGCACGAAAGCGUGGGGAUCGAACAGG